UAGGCAAAGGCAGGACUGAGUGCACGAAGUAGUUGUGUAGUGUGUAAGAGGAGAACAUGUCCAGAAUACCGGGGUACGAUACUCAUGAUGAUGGGCCAGGUUUCGUCGGAAUCAGGUUCUGCCAGGAAUGUAAUAACAUGUUGUACCCAAAAGAAGACAAGGAAAACAAAGUACUUUUGUACGCUUGCCGCAAUUGUGACUACAAGCAAGUAGCAGAUAGCAAUUGCAUUUAUGUCAACAAAAUUAUGCACGAAAUAGACGAGUUAACGCAUAUUGUCUCUGAUGUUAUUUCUGACCCUACAUUGCCACGAACUGAGGAACAUCCCUGUCCGAAAUGUAAUCACAGAGAAGCUGUGUUUUUCCAGGCACAGACAAGGAGAGCUGAGGAGGAGAUGAGACUUUACUAUGUGUGUACAAAUACUCAUUGUACGCACAGAUGGACAGAGUAAAUAGUGAUUUGGAAAAGCUGUGCACCUUUACUUCACAUCAAUUUGCACAGGAUAGUUGUGAAGUGAGGGUGCGUGUGCAUGUGUGGGUGCUUGCAUGUGUGCACACUAAAUAAUUGUAAUAUAAACUAUUUUUGUUGAGUGUGCUCUGCAUCAUUGCAUACAUUAUUGUCCAUGGUUACGUUGGGUUAUGAAAGCUUGUCUUAGAUUGCUGCUACCAAUGGACUGAUGUUUAUCGGUUGAUGUUUUGGGAUGAAGUUUGUCAUAGAUUGGUCUCUUGCAAAGGUCAAGGAUAGUUGGAUUGUGAGAUGGCAAAGUCAACAUAUGUCAUGUAAUGCAAGGAAGCUACAGUUACUGAGCAUUCGUGUAGUGAUUUAGAAGACUGAGUGAUCAGAGGAUAUGUAUGUUCCACAUUAAUUUACAUUUUAAUUUUGGUCACAAGAUUAAUUUUAUUUUUAUGACAAAUGCUUUAUGAGGUUUUGAGAUAGGGAAUGCCAUGGUUUUUUCUUAUUUAACUUCUUUCAGUACAUAUCAUGUUCCUUGGUUUUAUUUUGUUAAUACAAACCAUGUUGUCUGCUCGCUGCUUUCUUGACAGCUAUUUGGAAAUAGCUGUUCACACAUCCCAGGCUUUCCUGUCAUCCCACAGUGAUGACUGCCAACAGUAUUCCAUUAAACAUGUAAAUGCACUGUGCCUAUUUUACCCUAUUACCAUGGUUUCAUGUGGAAAUUAACAUUAGCAUGUUCACCCUGUAAGUUUAUUUUCAGUUAAUGAAGUAACUAUUGAUUGUUUUGACAUUGUAAGACAAUGAGUCAAUAGCUUUAAACAAAGAACAUUAGUUUUGCAACUUUGAUUGUAGUCAUUACAUUACCUUGUGCCAUUAGUUUUAGUGGGAAGAUUAGAUAGAUCUGUCAUGCCUCUGAAAUUAAUUCAUUCCAAGAUUGAGGCUUUUUCCCCAAUGUAUUUUGAACUGCAAAUAAAGUGUUU
rnacentral:misc_RNA from 1 species